UAUCUAUGAUUUUUAAACAUUUUCAAGAUAUAAAAGAUAAUCAAGAGAAGAUAAUUAAAAAAAAAAAAAAGAGUUCUUAACUUCUUCGAAUUACUUACCCUAACAUUUUGAUGCGUUACAGGCCUGCCAGGCCCAAACAAGAUCAUAAAUACUUACCUAAAUUGACCCAAUCAACACCAAAAAGCCCAUGACCACAAACAGCCUUAUCUUCAACAAAUAGACCAUCACCAUCCCUUCUUCUCUCUUCUCCACACAAAAAAAUGGCGCUUAGUCUAACCAUCACAUCCCUCCAAAUCAAAUCGAUCGCUCCUCCUCUCCUACCUAUCAAAAAGGAAGAGAGAUAUACGCCUAGAAUUCUAUGAAGACGGAACGGUGUAUUGCAUUGGAGAGUUAGUGAUGGCAACAACUGGGACCAAGCAGGAGUACGUGGUGGAUGUGUGGUCAGGCAACCAUCCGUUUUACCUCAGGAACCGGUCUGGUGUUCUUGCAGAUGCUGACCAGGUGGAGAAGUUUCGUAAGAAACUCGGAGAUCUCUCGCAGAUUAUGGGAAUUCCUGUACUUAAAGGUGAGUUUAUUUUGCCCGCCAGGGAAAAAUCUGUUGCUGGUAAAGCGGGCAAGAAGAAGUAGAUUCUUAAGGCGUGGAUAACUGUUUGGGUUAUUGGGUGGGGGCUUUGUUUUUGGUAAUAUUGAUGCACGAAUGUUUGAUGAAAUGCCUUUUUUUUUUUGGGCUGAUGCAAUACUGGAAUGCCGCCUUCUGGUGCUUAUUUUUGGAUUGGUUGCUGGAUUUAUAGCAGAAUAGAAGUUAUUGAAAUGGAA